GGCAAGUUCAUAAAGACACUUCGAAAAUUACUUUUGGAAGGAUAUGAUAUUGAAAAAAACAAUCACCCAUUGUAUGUAUAAAUAUGUCAACUCGUAUUGAAAUUAUAAAUAUCGUGCCAGCCUUGUUGAUAUAAGUUUCUUGUGUAUUGUGUGGAAUAUGUGAUGAGGAGAAUUAGGUAAAUAUGUGGGAUUAAUAAGAUGUUGAGCAGGGGUAGGAGUUAAUAAGUAUGUGUAUACUUCUUCCUACUCCUUUUCAGACCAAACAAUUGUUAUUUCAUGUUAGACGAAUGUGUUUUAUUUUAUUAUAUUUCUUUUUUGCUUGUCUGUACAAAUACGUGUGUGUGUGUAUAUCUACACAUAUAUUCGUAUCCGUAAACGAAAGUACAUGUAGACGAGUAUAUAUUGUUUUUUUUGUUUUUUGGUUGUUUGUUUUAUUAUGUCUGAAAUAAAUAAAGAUACAAUACAAUACAAUACAUUUCAUAGCAGAAUUAACACCGCCAUUCUCCGUCAGUGAUUUAAUUGGAAUGUUUCCGGGUUUUUAUUCUUCUCGUUUUUUUUUUUCUCUUUUUCCCCCUCUUGUUUUUAUGCUGCUCACCCUUGUCCUUGGUUCCUUUCUUUAUUUCUUUCACUGCUUCAAUCACCUGCUUCCACACUCAUCCACAAACAACAUCCUUUAUUUCGACACAUACGCACCGCACAAUCACGCACAGUCAUGCGCUCAACGGCAGCACAUUUACAUCAGUCAGACAACGCACACAAUCGUAUAGGAUACACACACUUAAGCCAAGCCUACUCAUAUUAGUAAGUAUGCACACACAUAGUCAGACUCAGGGAGCAUCUCACCACACAUUUUUUCUCUCUCUCCUUCUCUUUAUUUAUGAACAAGUGAUGUAUUCUCUCCACCUGUCUAAGGCAUACACAGCAUACAUCCCUAGUUAUACACAAACAUCUAUGGGUACACUGAGGUUCAUUACAUGGAAUAUAAAUGGAGCUGGCUCCAGAGAC
ensembl:lncRNA